GGUCAGUGAUGUCUGGCAUGUAUUAGCUGAAAGCUAAUUUGAUGUGUGAUCUAAAUUUACACUGAGACCUU
rnacentral:snoRNA from 1 species